UAAUACGGAGGGUCCGAGCGUUAUCCGGAAUCAUUGGGUUUAAAGGGUCCGUAGGCGGGCUUCUAAGUCAGUGGUGAAAUCUUACGGCUCAACCGUAAAAUUGCCAUUGAAACUGGAGGUCUUGAAUUAGUGUGAAGUGGUUAGAAUGUGUAGUGUAGCGGUGAAAUGCAUAGAUAUUACACAGAAUACCAAUUGCGAAGGCAGAUCACUAACACUAUAUUGACGCUGAGGGACGAAAGCGUGGGGAGCGAACAGGAUUAGAUACCCUGGUAGUCCACGCCGUAAACGAUGGAUACUAGCUGUUCGAUCUUCGGAUUGAGUGGCUAAGCGAAAGUGAUAAGUAUCCCACCUGGGGAGUACGUUCGCAAGAAUG
rnacentral:rRNA from 1 species